AAGUAGACCGCUUGGGGAGUACGGCCGCAAGGUUAAAACUCAAAUGAAUUGACGGGGGCCCGCACAAGCGGUGGAGCAUGUGGUUUAAUUCGACGCAACGCGAAGAACCUUACCUGGCCUUGACAUGCAGAGAACUUUCCAGAGAUGGAUUGGUGCCUUCGGGAACUCUGACACAGGUGCCGCAUGGCCGUCGUCAGCUCGUGUCGUGAGAUGUUGGGUUAAGUCCCGUAACGAGCGCAACCCCUAUCCUUAGUUGCUAGCAGUUCGGCUGAGAACUCUAGGGAGACUGCCGGUGACAAACCGAAGGAAGGUGGGGAUGACGUCAGGUCAUCAUGGCCCUUACGGCCAGGGCUACACACGUGCUACAAUGGUGCGCACAGAGGGCUGCAAACCCGCGAGGGGGAGCCAAUCUCACAAAACGCAUCGUAGUCCGGAUCGCAGUCUGCAACUCGACUGCGUGAAGUCGGAAUCGCUAGUAAUCGUGAAUCAGAAUGUCACGGUGAAUACGUUCCCGGGCCUUGUACACACCGCCCGUCACACCAUGGGAGUGGAUUGCACCAGAAGUGGUUAGUCUAACCUUCGGGAGGACGAUCACCACGGUGUGGUUCAUGACUGGGGUGAAGUCGUAACAAGGUAACC
rnacentral:rRNA from 1 species